UGUGCCAGUGAGAAAAUCCUGUAAAUAUUUGCAUAAAGUGGGUCCGAGUCCUAGGUUAAAUAGUUUCGGUAUGAGAUUUGUUGGAAUAACCAUGUUAAAUGCUGAGCUGUAAUCAUCAAAAAAUAACCUGGCAUAGCUGUUUCUGUUUUCCGGGUGAGCCAGUGUGGUAUGCAACGCAAGAGAUAUGGCAUCCUCAGCAGAUCUAUUAUGGCGGCUAUUCCUCCAAUGGAGUUCUUGUACAAGGGAGACAUAAUCAGUCAGUCUUUUGCAGAUCUUCCCUGCUGAGUUCAGUGCUGGCGCAGUACAUGCAGAGGGAAGCUGAUGAUAUCAAGAGAGCUGAGCUAGAACAUCAGGCAGAUGAAGAACACUGGGUAACGUGU